rnacentral:rRNA from 1 species
AUUGAACGCUGGCGGAAUGCUUUACACAUGCAAGUCGAACGGCAGCACGGACUUCGGUCUGGUGGCGAGUGGCAAACGGGUGAGUAAUGUAUCGGAACGUGCCCAGUCGUGGGGGAUAACGUAGUGAAAAUUACGCUAAUACCGCAUACGAUCUAUGGAUGAAAGCGGGGGAUCGCAAGACCUCGCGCGAUUGGAGCGGCCGAUAUCAGAUUAGGUAGUUGGUGGGGUAAAGGCCCACCAAGCCAACGAUCUGUAGCUGGUCUGAGAGGACGACCAGCCACACUGGAACUGAGACACGGUCCAGACUCCUACGGAGGCAGCAGUGGGAAUUUUGGACAAUGGGCGAAAGCCUGAUCCAGCCAUUCCGCGUGCAGGAUGAAGGCCCUCGGGUUGUAAACUGCUUUUGUACAGAACGAAAAGGUUUCUACUAAUACUAGGAGCUCAUGACGGUACUGUAAGAAUAAGCACCGGCUAACUACGUGCCAGCAGCCGACGG